UUUGAUCCUGGCUCAGGAUGAACGCUGGCGGCGUGCUUAACACAUGCAAGUCGAACGGGGCCACCAUUUUUGAAGCGAUUAGCUUGCUAAGAGUGGAAAUGUUGGCGGCUUAGUGGCGGACGGGUGAGUAACGCGUGGGUAACCUGCCAUAUACAGGGGGAUAACACUUAGAAAUAGGUGCUAAUACCGCAUAAGCGCACGGAGCUGCAUGGCUCAGUGUGAAAAACUCCGGUGGUAUAUGAUGGACCCGCGUCUGAUUAGCUUGUUGGCGGGGUAACGGCCCACCAAGGCGACGAUCAGUAGCCGGCCUGAAAGGGUGGACGGCCACAUUGGGACUGAGACACGGCCCAAACUCCUACGGGAGGCAGCAGUGGGGAAUAUUGGACAAUGGGGGGAACCCUGAUCCAGCGACGCCGCGUGAGUGAAGAAGUAUCUCGGUAUGUAAAGCUCUAUCAGCAGGGAAGAAAGAAAUGACGGUACCUGACCAAGAAGCCCCGGCUAACUACGUG
rnacentral:rRNA from 1 species